AUGGCUACGGGAAGUAUUUAUGUAGCUGUGCCUGCUCUUGCUGCUGCUGUUGGAUUUUAUUUCAUAGACACAAACCAUGUUAAGAAAAUCAAAAAAGAAUUUUCAUUAUCCAAUAGCAAAAUGAUGCCCCAAGUAAAAGAUCAUGAGAAGACAAUUCAAAAUCCAAAAAUGGCACCACAGCUUGAUGGUUUACAUUGUUUUGAAACCAUUCUGAUGAAUUAA